rnacentral:ncRNA from 1 species
GUAGUCUGCCAUACGCAGGAAGACCCGCUGAACUGAAGCAUCUCAUUAAGCGGAGGAAAAGAAACUAACUAGGAUUCCCUUAGUAAAGGCGAUCGAAAAGGGAACAGCCCAACGUCUUAAUCCCGCAAGGGAAAUGUAGUCGGUUCACCUAUUGCACUGGUCUAAGUCAGAUGGAAUGCUGCGCGAUUCAGAGUAAAAGCCUCGUAUGACCAACCGCAAGCUUACGAUGGACCGGGGAGAGUCGGAUACUUUGAGAGUAGUGUCUUAAGGGGGUGGUAUGUCCCAUCCAAGGCUAAAUAACGUGAGGAGACCGAUAGAUUACAAGUAGUGUGAACGAAAGAUGAAAAGAACUCUAAAACAGAGGGUGAAAAGUUCCUGAACUUGCUUAGGGUUAAGGCUAUUUAUAGUACCCGUCUUGAAACACGGAUUAGGGAGUUUAUCUGUAGUGCGAGUCUUUGCACGUUAACUGUAAAGGCGUAGAGAAAGCAACUGGCGUUUGCAUGGCUACUGAGCAUUACUGAUAGGACCCGAAAGGUGGUGAACUUUGCCUGCACAGGUUGAAGUCAGGGGAAACUCUGAUGGAGGACCGUACGGGUUAUUGAUGUGCAAAUCAUUUUUCUGAUGUAGGUAAAGGUGCG